UACGUAGGUGACAAGCGUUAUCCGGAAUUAUUGGGCGUAAAGCGCCCGCAGGCGGCUGUUCAAGUCUGACGUGAAAUCCCUCGGCUUAACCGAGGAACUGCCCUCCAAACUGCUUCGCUUGAGACCGGGAGAGGUGAGUGGAAUUCCCAGUGUAGCGGUGAAAUGCGUAGAUAUUGGGAAGAACACCGGUGGCGAAGGCGGCUCUCUGGACCGACACUGACGCUGAGGUGCGAAAGCGUGGGGAGCAAACAGG
rnacentral:rRNA from 1 species